GCUAGACAUGGGUGAAAUUGGAUACCAAGCUUAAUGGUUUACCUACAGCAUCAUAGGAAAAUGGCAAUGAUAAAAUGGGAGAGAAUGGAUUGAUUAUUGCUGCUUGAGCCCAUACAGAAAUAGGGCCUUGGAGUUGCUGGAUGCCAUUGAUUGCUAUCUAUUCAUUCUCACAACAACUUUAAGGAAAAUGCAGCCAAGAGGAGAUAUACUCCCAGGUUUACAGGAAAUCUGUCAUUUUUUAUUAAAAUGGAAAACUGUGAAGAAAGAAAAAGAUAGCAGUUGAAGUCAAAAUUCUCGGAUGACUAUUUUGCUUUUGAGGAGUCAGCAUUUAAAAACGAUAUGCUGAUUUGGAAGGUCCUGGGAGUAAACUGCAAACUUUAUUUUUUCCAUUCAAUCAAUGGAUUUUUUAAUCAUUCCUUGGAGUCGAUGAAGUUCGGAAACGGUGUGUGAUGGGGAACGUGGCGGGCCAGUGUGUUCCUAGAAAUUGCAUCUUGGAUUAGUUUGCUGCUUUUUUGAAGAGAUUCCAUUUUGAAGGGCAAGAACCUAAUGUGAUGGAUUUAUCUUCAGAAAUGAACAGACAUGGGAAGAAUCCAGUGAGUCACAAGCUAGAAGAUCAGAAGAAGGUAAAAGAAAUUUCUCUUUGCUUGGUCCUUUUUGUUUACACUUAAAGAGAAUUUUUGAAAUUGAAAAUGAAUGCACCUUUUGAGAUAAA
rnacentral:lncRNA from 10 species